UAGUGGCGAACGGGUGAGUAACACGUGGGCAAUCUGCCCUUCACUCUGGGACAAGCCCUGGAAACGGGGUCUAAUACCGGAUAACACCUGCCCGGGCAUCUGGGUGGGUUAAAAGCUCCGGCGGUGAAGGAUGAGCCCGCGGCCUAUCAGCUUGUUGGUGAGGUAGUGGCUCACCAAGGCGACGACGGGUAGCCGGCCUGAGAGGGCGACCGGCCACACUGGGACUGAGACACGGCCCAGACUCCUACGGGAGGCAGCAGUGGGGAAUAUUGCACAAUGGGCGAAAGCCUGAUGCAGCGACGCCGCGUGAGGGAUGACGGCCUUCGGGUUGUAAACCUCUUUCAGCAGGGAAGAAGCGAAAGUGACGGUACCUGCAGAAGAAGCGCCGGCUAACUACGUGCCAGCAGCCGCGGUAAUACGUAGGGCGCAAGCGUUGUCCGGAAUUAUUGGGCGUAAAGAGCUCGUAGGCGGCUUGUCACGUCGGGUGUGAAAGCCCGGGGCUUAACCCCGGGUCUGCAUUCGAUACGGGCUAGCUAGAGUGUGGUAGGGGAGAUCGGAAUUCCUG
rnacentral:rRNA from 1 species